rnacentral:rRNA from 1 species
GACGAACGCUGGCGGCGUGCCUAAUACAUGCAAGUCGAACGCACAGUUUAUACCGUAGCUUGCUACACCAUAGACUGUGAGUUGCGAACGGGUGAGUAACGCGUAGGUAACCUGCCUGGUAGCGGGGGAUAACUAUUGGAAACGAUAGCUAAUACCGCAUAAUAUUAAUUAUUGCAUGAUAAUUAAUUGAAAGGUGCAAUUGCACCACUACCAGAUGGACCUGCGUUGUAUUAGCUAGUAGGUGAGGUAACGGCUCACCUAGGCGAAGAUACAUAGCCGACCUGGGAGGGUGAUCGGCCACACUGGGACUGAGACACCGCCCAGAAUCCUACGGGAAGCAGCAGUAAGGAAUCUUCGGCAAUGGAGGAAAGUCUGACCGAACAACGCCGCGUGAGUUAAGAAAGGUUUCGGAUCGUAAAGAUCUGUUGUAAGAGAAGAACGGGUGUGGGAGUGGAAUGUUCACACUGUGACGGUAUCUAACCAGAAAGGCACGGCUAACUACGUG